rnacentral:pre_miRNA from 1 species
CUGGUACUCCCUCCGUCCAAAAAUACUUGUAAUCAAAAUGAAUAAAAAAAAUGUAUCUAGAACUAAAAUACAUCUAGAUACAUCCCUUUUUAUCCAUUUUGAUGACAAAUAUUUCCGGACGGAGGAGUAGUAC